rnacentral:lncRNA from 1 species
GAAAUCUCAUUAUGCGAUAACCUUAACUCUUGUAACAAUGAAAGAUUUUGGAGUUGUAAAGGGAUUGCUCCAAUUAGUUCAUUGUAGCUGAGAUCAAGGUGUUGUAAUUGUGAGAGAUUUCCAAGUUGGAAGGGAAUUGCUCCAAUGAGUUCAUUUUCGCUGAGAUCAAGGUGUUGCAAUUGUGAGAGAUUUCCAAGUUGGAAGGGAAUUGCUCCAAUGAGUUCAUUUCUGCUGAGAUCAAGGUGUUGCAAUUGUGAGAGAUUUCCAAGUUGGAAGGGAAUUCCUCCAAUGAGUUCAUUGUAGCUGAGAUCAAGAUGUUGCAAUUGUGAGAGAUUUCCAAGUUGGAAGGGAAUUGCUCCAAUGAGUUCAUUUUCGCCGAGAUCAAGGUGUUGCAAUUGUGAGAGAUUUCCAAGUUGGAAGGGAAUUGCUCCAAUGAGUUCAUUUCCGCCGAGAUCAAGGUGUUGCAAUUGUGAGAGAUUUCCAAGUUGGAAGGGAAUUCCUCCAAUGAGUUCAUUGUAGCUGAGAUCAAGAUGUUGCAAUUGUGAGAGAUUUCCAAGUUGGAAGGGAAUUGCUCCAAUGAGUUCAUUUUCGCCGAGAUCAAGGUGUUGCAAUUGUGAGAGAUUUCCAAGUUGGAAGGGAAUUGCUCCAAUGAGUUCAUUACCUCUGAGAUCAAGGUGUUGCAAUUGUGAGAGAUUUCCAAG